GACGUAGGGCGCGAGCGUUGUCCGGAUUUAUUGGGCGUAAAGAGCUCGUAGGCGGCUUGUUACGUCGACUGUGAAAACCCGCGGCUCAACCGUGUGGUCUGCAGUCGAUACGAGCAGGCUAGAGUUCGGUAGGGGAGACUGGAAUUCCUGGUGUAGCGGUGAAAUGCGCAGAUAUCAGGAGGAACACCGGUGGCGAAGGCGGGUCUCUGGGCCGAUACUGACGCUGAGGAGCGAAAGCGUGGGGAGCGAACAGG
rnacentral:rRNA from 1 species